AGAUUGAUUGGAACCAAUCCUGGCUCAAGCCUGCUCCGCACAGCCUUGGAUCCUAAUUUUCUGGGAGAGGAAGAUUCCCUUCUCUCAGGUCACACACUAGGAAGCCGCAUAAUCUGGAAUCCCAGGUGCCUUUAAAUGGUCACCUUCAGCCUUAACUCUCCCUCUAGGCUGAGGUCUUUUGCAAUGCAGGUCUUCACUUUUGCGUGGGGACUAAAGCAACAGCUAAGCACUGACUGUACUUGCGACACCGCAGGUAAUCAUCUGAGAGAGCACCACCUAGUGGCUGACACAGGUCUGUGGUAACCAUCUUAUCAAUGUGGAGACUAUCUGUGCUGAGAAGACAUUAAUGAAAAGGCUGGUUAUGGGAAAGGUUGCUUGUGGCUGUGAUCUGGGCACUCAGAUUAUAGUUCUCAGGCCUUCCUGUUCCAGCAGGCUCCCACACUCAAAUUCUGCGGGAAGGAUGAAGUUUUUGUCUGUCCUACAACCACCUUAGGAUGAACUCCAGGGUUCGUCUCUGCUGGCAGGGAGGGGAGGGGAACGUGGGUCCACAUGAUCCAGAUUUGCUGACUCCUGGCCCUCCCAGAUGUGUCCACGAGUGGACGUUCAGGUCCUCAUUUCCACAGUUCCCACGAGGCACCUGGAAGGAGCUGUUGCCUUAGAAACAAGGGCACAGAGUGCUCGGGAGACUGGAGUCCCCAACCUUUCUGUGUCUGCUCCUCACUGCACCUUCGCUGAGCCUGUAUGUGGCCAUCCCACAUCACUGCAUCACUUCAUCACUCCAGCCUCUCUCCAGCAAAGAUAUCACCACCCUCGUCUGAGUGGAGUCCACGGAUCCUGGCCACACCUCCAGCCAAGCUGGCAACGCUUUUUCUCCUGGCUUCCGGUUUGCACCACAAUCCACCGUCCUCACUGCAUCCUCUUGGCCACUUGUUCUGAAGCAACUUUGCUUGGAGGCAACUUUCCAAGAGUUUCUAUGCGGGAAGCCCAUGUCUGCUCACCCAGACCCCACAUUAGGCUGGAGGGAGACACUCAGAAGUCUGUACUGUGGAUGCAAAAACACAGCUCUCACCUCAAAGGUGGGAAAAACAGAUUUUAUUCUGAGUCAAAUAUGAGUGACUACAGCUCAGGAGCACAGGUUCAGAAUCCCCUUAAACACCACAGUCGCAUGUGGAGACAGUUUUGUGAAGUUUUUAUGAUAAUAAAGAACUGAAAAACUA
rnacentral:lncRNA from 1 species